rfam:Dipodomys ordii contig_11938, whole genome shotgun sequence.
GGGAAUGUGGCCUAGUGGUAGAGCGCUUGCCUAGCAUGCAUGAAGCCCUGGGUUCGAUUCCUCAGUACCA